rnacentral:rRNA from 1 species
UACGAAGGGGGCUAGCGUUGUUCGGAAUUACUGGGCGUAAAGCGUGCGCAGGCGGUUUUGUAAGUCUGACGUGAAAUCCCCGGGCUUAACCUGGGAAUGGCAUUGGAAACUGGCUCGCUGGAGUGUGGCAGAGGGGGGUGGAAUUCCGCGUGUAGCAGUGAAAUGCGUAGAGAUGCGGAGGAACACCGAUGGCGAAGGCAGCCCCCUGGGCUAACACUGACGCUCAGGCACGAAAGCGUGGGGAGCAAACAGG